ACACACACACUGCACUCAUACACACACACUGCAUUCAUACACACACUGCAUUCAUACACACACACUGCACUCAUACACACACACUGCACUCAUACACACACUGCACUCAUACACAAACACUGCAUUCAUACACACACACCACUCAUACACAAACACUGCAUUCAUACACACACUGCAUUCAUACACACACUGCACUCAUACACACACUGCAUUCAUACACACAC